rnacentral:snoRNA from 1 species
UGGAUGUAAUGACUGAGAUGCUGAUGAAAUCUCAAAAUUCCUCUGGACAGUCAAGUACUGAUCAAG